rnacentral:rRNA from 1 species
UGGGGGAUAUUGCACAAUGGGCGAAAGCCUGAUGCAGCGACGCCGCGUGGGGGAUGAAGGCUUUCGGGUUGUAAACCUCUUUCGCUAUCGAACAAGGCCCGCUUAGGGUGGGUUGAGGGUAGGUGGAGAAGAAGCGCCGGCUAACUACGUGCCAGCAGCCGCGGUAAUACGUAGGGCGCGAGCGUUGUCCGGAAUUAUUGGGCGUAAAGGGCUUGUAGGCGGCUUGUUGCGCCUGCUGUGAAAACGCGGGGCUUAACUUCGCGCGUGCAGUGGGUACGGGCAGGCUUGAGUGUGGUAGGGGUGACUGGAAUUCCAGGUGUGGCGGUGGAAUGCGCAGAUAUCUGGAGGAACACCGAUGGCGAAGGCAGGGCACUGGGCCAUUACUGACGCUGAGGAGCGAAAGCAUGGGUAGCGAACAGG